UCGAGCAAAGGCUGCUGAGAUUCUUGUCAAGGACCUUAAGUUUUUUGCAUCUUUCAAUGAAGAUCUUUUCAAGGAGAUUACUCAGCUCCUCACUCUUGAUAACUUUAGGUGAUCAAGGAGUGAGUCGAAUGGAGGAUUCUUAGACAUAAACGAAGUAUCAUCAGAAGGAGGAGAAAAGGACUGGAACCUGAUGACGAGUAUGGAAGAUGAGGAAGAAAGCAGCAAUAGAUGUCCUCCGAGGAAGAAGCUACGUCUCUCCAAAGAAUAAUCUCGUCUCAAAGAAAGUUUCAGGCAAAACCAUACCCUGUUAUAGCUUCAUCUUUUCUCUUUUUUUUCUUUCUUUCUUUAACUCAUAAAACACCCUCUCUUUACAAUAAAUGCUCUGCUUUUAACGUCUUGAUUUCCUAAUUUACUCAGUUCUGCUUGUUUUUUCUUCGACUAUUUUACUUCUCUAUAGUAUUUGUGUGCUAUCUUAGUUUAAUUUCGUAAUAUACUCAAUUUUGUCUAUGUUUUCUUCAUGGGUAAUAGGGGAAAGGUUUCCUUCAAUGGUCACUGGUUGGAUGAGUUUGUUCCCCAGAAAACGUUAGCUUAUAUAAGCCAAGAAGAUCUGUAUAUUGCUGUGAUGACAGAGGGAAACACUUGAAUUUACUGCCCAAUGUCUUGGUGUUGGAAACCGAGGAAAUAUGAUGAUGGAAGUCAGUAAAAGAGAGGAGAUAGGCACCGUUCCGGAUCCAGAUGUAGAUACUUACACGAAGGCAGGAUCGAGCGAAGGCUGUUGAGAUUCUUGUCAAGGACCUUAAGAUUUUUGCAUCUUUCAGUGAAGAUCUUUUCAAGGAGAUUAUUCAGCUCCUCACUCUUGAUAACUUUAGGCAAAAUGAGCAGCUUUCCAGUAUGGAGACACAAAAUCGGCUCGUAAUAUUAUGCUUGUAGAACUCAAAAAGCUAAUUGAAGCAAACCCCCUGUUUCGUGACAAGCUUACAUUCCCAGCCUUCAAAAGUUCACGACUGAGGACAUUGAUAAACCAGAGUUUAAAUUGGCAGCAUCAAUUUUGCAAGAAUCCUCAUCCGAAUCCUGAUAUUAAGACACUCUUCACUGAUCAUUCUUGCAAUCCUACAGCUAAUGGAGCUCGUCCUCCUCCUACAAGCACCCCCGUUGUGGGACCAAUUCGUAAAGCUGGUGCUUUUCCGCCUAUUGGUGCUCAUGGUCCAUUUCAGACUGUUGUUUCCCCAUCUCCUGGUGCUGUUGCUGGUUGGAUGUCAAACAGUAGUCCUUCCUUAACGUAGCCCUGCUAUCGCCCCCUGGUCUUAUUCAGUCUUCUAGUGCUGGCCAACAGGUAUGACUGGGAUGGAUUAUCAAUCAGCUGAUUCAGAGAAUUUGAUGAAGUGUAUCCGCACUGGCCAGUCUGAUGAAGUGUGGAUGAGUUAGAUAAUCUUUUGUUUUUUAAAGCUUGAUAGCUUCUAUAAAAUUCUAAUGACCUUUAUAUCAGUUGUUUGUUGCAAUUCUCUUUGUUGAUUCCCACUUUAAUGAUUGUUUGGUGUCUGUAGAUGUCUUUUUCUGGUGUAGCACAUACUCCUAAUGUAUAUUCUCAAGAUGACAUCACUAAAGUUAUUCUUUUAGAUAAAAAAAUAGAAAAUAGAAAAUAGCUAUUUUUUUCUGGUGCAAACCCUAAAUCAGGGAUCUAAUGUCAUGAGCAUGGAUUUCCAUCCACAACAACAAACUAUUCUUUUAGUGGGGACAAAUGUUGGUGACAUUAGCCUUUGGGAGGUCGGAUCCCUAGCAAGACUGGCACACAAGUCUUUCAAGGUUUGGGACAUGUCAGUUGCUUCAAUGCCAUUGCAGAUGCCUUUGUUGAAUGAUGCUCCAAUAUCAGUGAAUAGGAGUGUUUGGGGGCCAGAUAGACUUAUGCUUGGACCCAAGUUUAUGUAAGAAAGAAGGCUAAAACAGAAGCAAAGGGAAGAGAGGGAAGGGCAACAGGAAGCAAAGAUUCUCGAGCUCGACACCAAGUUGAAGUAGAUUCAGUUCAGGAUUCACAACAGCUCAAGAAAAGGGCAAUAACAGUAUUAACGGUUCAACAGAAUGAGGGGACCACGGGUACAUUGAAGAAUGACGUGGCAGCAGCUGAAGAUAGGAGUGAAUUGGAGGGAAAAGAGCAUUAUAUUGAGCGG